UGGGGAAUUUUGGACAAUGGACGCAAGUCUGAACCAGCCAUGCCGCGUGAAGGAUGAAGGUCCUCUGGAUUGUAAACUUCUUUUAUAGGGGACGAAAAAAGGGAAUUCUUUCUCGUCUGACGGUACCCUAGGAAUAAGCACCGGCUAACUCCGUGCCAGCAGCCGCGGUAAUACGGAGGGUGCAAGCGUUAUCCGGAUUUACUGGGUUUAAAGGGAGCGUAGGUGGGUCUGUAAGUCAGUGGUGAAAUCUCCGAGCUUAACUCGGAAACUGCCAUUGAUACUAUCAGUCUUGAAUAUUGUGGAGGUCAGCGGAAUAUGUCAUGUAGCGGUGAAAUGCUUAGAUAUGACAUAGAACACCAAUUGCGAAGGCAGCUGGCUACGCAUAUAUUGACACUGAGGCACGAAAGCGUGGGGAUCAAACA
rnacentral:rRNA from 1 species